AUUGAACGCUGGCGGAAUGCUUUACACAUGCAAGUCGAACGGCAGCACGGGGCAACCUGGUGGCGAGUGGCGAACGGGUGAGUAAUACAUCGGAACGUGCCCAAUCGUGGGGGAUAACGUAGCGAAAGUUACGCUAAUACCGCAUACGAUCUAAGGAUGAAAGCGGGGGAUCGAAAGACCUCGCGCGAAUGGAGCGGCCGAUGUCAGAUUAGGUAGUUGGUGGGGUAAAGGCUCACCAAGCCGACGAUCUGUAGCUGGUCUGAGGGGACGACCAGCCACACUGGGACUGAGACACGGCCCAGACUCCUACGGGAGGCAGCAGUGGGGAAUUUUGGACAAUGGGCGCAAGCCUGAUCCAGCCAUUCCGCGUGCAGGAUGAAGGCCUUCGGGUUGUAAACUGCUUUUGUACGGAGCGAAAAGGCUCUCUCUAAUACAGGGGGCUCAUGACGGUACCGUAAGAAUAAGCACCGGCUAACUACGUGCCAGCAGCCGCCGUAACAC
rnacentral:rRNA from 1 species